GACGAGGCUAUAACUGACGCUAAAGCUCGAAGGUGCGGGUAUCGAACAGGAUUAGAUACCCUGGUAGUCCGCACGGUAAACGAUGGAUGCCCGCUGUUGGCGAUACAAUGUCAGCGGCCAAGCGAAAGCGUUAAGCAUCCCACCUGGGGAGUACGCCGGCAACGGUGAAACUCAAAGGAAUUGACGGGGGCCCGCACAAGCGGAGGAACAUGUGGUUUAAUUCGAUGAUACGCGAGGAACCUUACCCGGGCUUGAACUGCAGGGGAACGAUCCAGAGAUGGUGAGGUCAGCAAUGACCCCUGUGGAGGUGCUGCAUGGUUGUCGUCAGCUCGUGCCGUGAGGUGUCGGCUUAAGUGCCAUAACGAGCGCAACCCUUUUCAUCAGUUGCCAUCAGGUAGUGCUGGGCACUCUGGUGAUACUGCCACCGUAAGGUGUGAGGAAGGUGGGGAUGACGUCAAAUCAGCACGGCCCUUACGUCCGGGGCUACACACGUGUUACAAUGGGUGGUACAGAGAGUCGGUCGCUGGCAAUAGCGAUCCAAUCCUUAAAGCCAUCCUCAGUUCGGAUUGGGGUCUGCAACCCGACCCCAUGAAGCUGGAU
rnacentral:rRNA from 1 species